GAUGAACGCUGGCGGCGUGCUUAACACAUGCAAGUCGAACGGUGAGGGCGGAGCUUGCUCCGCUGGAUCAGUGGCGAACGGGUGAGUAACACGUGAGCAAUCUGCCCCUGACUCUGGGAUAAGCGCUGGAAACGGCGUCUAAUACUGGAUACGAGCUGCGAAGGCAUCUUCAGCAGCUGGAAAGAAUUUCGGUCAGGGAUGAGCUCGCGGCCUAUCAGCUUGUUGGUGAGGUAAUGGCUCACCAAGGCGUCGACGGGUAGCCGGCCUGAGAGGGUGACCGGCCACACUGGGACUGAGACACGGCCCAGACUCCUACGGGAGGCAGCAGUGGGGAAUAUUGCACAAUGGGCGAAAGCCUGAUGCAGCAACGCCGCGUGAGGGACGACGGCCUUCGGGUUGUAAACCUCUUUUAGCAGGGAAGAAGCGAAAGUGACGGUACCUGCAGAAAAAGCGCCGGCUAACUACGUG
rnacentral:rRNA from 1 species